GACCGCCCCGCACGGCCCUGCCUGCUCGAUCCCAUCUCCACCUCCAUCCCGCCGCCACCUCCUGCCCCCACACCUCCCGCCCCACACCGCCUCGACCGGGACCGCGUCCCUCCCCAAACGACAGCUCCUGGCCGUCGGAUUUGCUGGCUCCCCGCUCCUCGGGGCCAGCCCCUCCCCGGUGCCGGGUCGAGCAUCGGCUUGGAGGCCCUUGGGGCUGCCGCCGGUGUGGGAGUCCCGCAACGGCCGUGCGGGCUGCGGACCGAGCGGCGGGCCAGCCACCUGUGCCCCGUCCGCCCUGCUGCUGAGCCAUCCUUGUACCGUUGCACACAUCUUCGCACCACCGGCCAGCCUCUGGUGCACACCUCUUCUUUUACUAGCCACGAACCACGAGCAUCACCUGUUUGGUGUUGUGCCUACGAGCGUGUUGGAGAAAUCUGUGUCUAGAGGGUGGUGAAGAUUGAUGCGGAGAGGAAGUCGAUGGCGACAGAGAGCGUGUGUACUCCAGCCUGUUGGAUCUAUCACAGAUGCCUUUGCUUGAUGUACAAUGUCAAAUUCAAGAAGAAAAAAGUGUUUUCUAUUUUCUACUAUAGAUCUGCGUUGUAUGGAGCGGAACAUAACCAACUGGUCUGCAUCUCCUUCAAUGGCACCCUGCAUCUCUAUCAAUAGCACCCUGCAACAAGCUUGCUUUCUCUACAUCUACCAUCAACUACCAUGCAACAAGUUCAGUUUGAUGUUAAGAGGAGGCGUUACAGAAGGGAGAGAUCGAUGAUUUUGGAAUAUAAAGCUUCAUAUGAUUUUUUCCUCCAAGUCUCAAUUAUUCCUAAAAUUGGUGUUGACUAUCCCACGAUUUCAUGCUGACUAUCCCACGAGACAAUUUCUCGACCCAACCAACAAUGGUUCAUAGAAUUUGGGCGUAUUCUCCCGUUGCAACGCACGGGCACCUUUACUAUAUGUCGAGUUAUGGUUUCAUGAUAAACGGGGCACGCAUCAAAUGUUUGCUGAAUUGCUUGAAGAAAAUGCAUCGGGUCCUUUCUUGCGUCCUUCAAGUCUUCAACCAGGUAAAAUAAAUCCUGGUAUUGUUUUUCUUCUUGCAUAACUUAUCUAAUCUCCCAACAGAUUUGUUGGGUUGGUGUGGUUCUUAGUCUUAGUUUUGGCCGUGGCUAUGAAAUUUUGUUGAGAAGUAGGCAAACAUAAAAGUUGUUGUUUGUUGAAUGAAUUUGCGUUGUAUCUCUUUUAUUCCUAAAACAGUUAGUCAGAAAGAUCUUUCACACUGGUGUGUUACUAUUAUUUCUACCCAAGCUCUAAUAUUUUAGUGCCAAGCAAAUUUGAUGCAUCCGAACUAUGACACAUCUCUCUAUACUGAAACUGUGGUUGUAUUGUUCGUCAUCUGAAAACCACACUCAAGUACUCCCUCCGUCCCAAAAUUCUUGUCUUAGAUUUGUCUAGAUACAGAUGUAUCUAACACUAAAACAUGAAUAGAUACAUCCAUAUGUAGAUAAAUCUAAGACAAGAAUUUUGGGACGGAGGGAGUAUACAUUAUGGGACAUAAUGCCCAGAAAAUAAUCACCAGGCAUGGAUAUCACUCUUGACCUACAGAGUACAACAUUGCAUAAUUUUCUGGUUUUCUGAAGGUACAACUCAAUAUUAUUUUUUAUCAUUUAUAGAUAGAACAAAGGCCACAAGAGCUGAUUUUGUGCACCUUGCUGCAUGGGCACCCACUUGAUUAAGAUAUUCGAAGUAUUGUCUUUGAGAAUAAUUUGAUGAACCACCAUGUCGCCCUUCAAUCUGGUUCCAUGGGAAAGUAAAUUACAUCGUAUGAGCGAGUCAACAUAGCCUACAUGUUAAGUGGAUGCUAUCACUUUAUCACAACUUUUAUUUAUUACCAUUCAUUCUACCAUUGCUCAACUUUGUUUCAUAAACUGUUCUUGCUAUGUAUGCAGGAUACAUUUCUAGAGCUGAAAUUUCAGGGCAUCAAGAAGUAAUUAACUAUGCUUCAAUUAUUGAGCUGCAGAUAUGGCAUGUGCGUACACGAAGACCUGAUGCAUCAAAGCUCGGUGUGGACACACCUCUUCUUACAGGACAGAUGUUGAUUUAUCAUUUCCUUCGAGCGCCAUUAAAUCCCAGUCUUAUCUAAUUUGAAAUGGCUCUAGCGUGUGUGAUGUAUCGCUCCCCUCAGUUUUUGGAGGAACAUGGUGCUAUUUGGUGCUUUUGGUUGUGGAAAAAAUGUCAUUAGUCAGGCACUUUCUUGUCAUGGAUGUGGGAAAACCUUUGUCUAUAGUAUUUUCUUGGUACCAUCUCUAUACCGUCUAUUCAGUUUGAAAAUAUAUGUGGUACUCCAGUUCUGAA